UCAAGGCAUGCAAAGUUUCUACGCCAUAUGCGAACCAAACAUGGUGAUUGUGUACCACCUAUAGUCAUCUAUGGGCAUCAGUUUACCAGGGCCAGCCAUUACCAAGAUGCUGUGAGAGAAUAUCUUGCAGCUUAUAAACUAUUGCCGGAGAAUCCACUAGUUAAUCUUUGUGUGGGAACAGCCUUUAUCAAUUUAGCCCUUGGAUUUAGACUUCAAAACAAGCAUCAAUGUGUUGCACAAGGCUUAUCAUUCCUCUAUAACAAUUUACGGCUUGCUGAAAACAGUCAGG
rnacentral:misc_RNA from 1 species